rnacentral:rRNA from 1 species
UACCAGCACCCCGAGUGGUCGGGACGAUUAUUGGGCCUAAAGCAUCCGUAGCCGGUUCUGCAAGUCUUCCGUUAAAUCCAUCUGCUUAACAGAUGGGCUGCAGAGGAUACUAUAGAGCUAGGAGGCGGGAGAGGCAAGCGGUACUUAGUGGGUAGGGGUAAAAUCCGUUGAUCCACUGAAGACUACCAGUGGCGAAGGCGGCUUGCCAGAACGCACUCGACGGUGAGGGAUGAAAGCUGGGGGAGCAAACCGG